AGAUGACUGUGCUCAGAAGAUGCUAAUAAGGGACCACAAGCUGUCAUAAGGAGCCAGCUAGUAAGGACGGGAGAGAUGGCUCAGAAGCACUGAGAGGAGAGUCAGUCACUGGCCGCCCAGUCUAGCCUACUUGGGGAGUCUUAAGCCAAGGAAGGGCGGAUGAAACCUGAGGAAUGACAGCCAAGAUUGUCUUCUGGCCUCCAGAUACAAAGAAAGCAAAAGAAGAAAAAGCCCCCAUCAAGUAUUUCAGACUUUGCAGCUCAGAUUUCUUUCAGAUAGCCUUGUUGUUUUUUUUUUCUGUUCUGUUUUGUUUUGCCAUCUGAUUUCUCAAUUUUUUAAGAAGGCAAGCCCCCUCCUCAGCUAGACGGAGCCGCUGCUGCCUAGCAUGCUCUGGUUCUCCUUGGAGUGUCCGAAGCCCUCCCUGGGCCUCUAUCCUGAGAAAGCUCUGUUGGCCAUGGUUCUACAAAGACCUAUCUCCUGAGUGGAGUCCCCUGACUGUUCUCAGAGCUGGAAGAGCAGGCAUAUUUGUGUGUGACUAAAGGCCACUUGGACACUGGGCAUGGAUCUGACCGGUCCCAUGCAGGCUGAUAUUCAUGCCCUGCUUCUCCUGACCUCCUGCAGUUACUGCAGACAGAGAAGACAACCCCGAACAGUGCUGAAGAUGCCUGCUGUAUGCUAUGUAGGAAAGUGAGAAUUUCCACCAUCUGACCCUCAGCAGCACAUAGUAGCAGAUUCUUUUCUGGUCACUGAUCCUCAAACUUUGUCCCAUAGAAGAACGGGGAAUUCUGGGUCGAAGGAAGUCCUUCGGGCCUUCAUGGUUGGUAGGGGAGGCUUCUCCUGCAGGCUGAGAAGGCACUGAGGGACCCAAUGUGAGUGAUAGUUCAUUUGAACUGGGGUAGGGCUGCUGCCUAGGUGCCUUGCCAUGAUGGUCGGACACCAGAGAAAGUGGCCAAUGAAAGCCGUGGCUUUGUCUCUAAGAGGAGAACACACAGUGUGCAUUUGAUGGGAGGCAGGUAAAAGAGCAUGAGAGGAGGCAAUGGCAGUACAGGACCUGCAGAGUGAGGUGGGCGGGUGUGUGUGUGUGUGUGUGUCAGGCAUUCCCCAAAGAGAGCAACGGAUUCCAAGGGCCAAAAAUGAGGUGUGAGAAAAGAGGCCUUGAAGGGCUGUCCAAGAAACAGAGGAGGUUUUAGGUAGAUGGCUUUAUGGGAGCUGUGUUAGCUCUCCAUCACUGGAGAGAGUACACAUCACAAAAUGCCUGAGAAAACCAGCUUGCUAGAAGGGAAGACUUACUGGCUGUGAAUGCAGUGCCUGCAGAGGCCAGAAGAAGGCAUCAGAUAUCGUAUAACUGAAGUUAUGAGUGGUUGUGAGCCCCUGUGUGGGUGCUAGGAACUGAACCUGAGACCUCUGGAAGAGCAGCCAGUGUUCUUAACUGCUGAGUCAUCUCUCCAUCCCCUGCAAUAUGUAUUUUAAGGAGUAAUUUUUGGAUACAUUUGCCAAGAGAGCAAAAGUUUCUAAGUCAUAUAUAUAUAUACAUAUACAUAUAUAUGUAUGCAGACUCACACACUAAAAGACUAGAUGGUCAUUUUGGAAAAAGUUUUUGGUCUUGUGGAUGGUGAUAUCAAUAGAAAGGCCAGGAAAGAGACCCUGGGACUGUUGUCUGGGUCAAGAGGAGUAUCUGUGAGUAGGCAGUGUACACUGGAUUUUCUGGAAGCAGAAGUUGAAAAUUUGGGUUGCAAGAAACCUAAGUUGCCCAGCAUUGUCCACAAGAGGACCCAUAUGGGGCUGAGGGUAAGUGGCUUGGGAGAGACACGGCUGUGGAAGCCUACAGGAUCUGGUGGCUGGAAGCUGAUGAGGCCCUGGGACAGUCGGCCCAACUUUAAAAGAAAAUCUGGGCUGGCAAUAUCUGUGUCAACCUCUGCAUUUCUUCCUUUCAUACUAGCCAGUGCCCGUUGAAAUGGGGCUACCUCUUCUGUUAGCCAGGUUGGGGUAACAGGGACUGAGUUUACUCUGCCUCUUGAAACAGUAGCAAAAACAAAACAUAACAAGCAAUCCUUUUAAAGGCACUGUAUCUAUGUUCACCAGUGACAAUUCCUGGACAGAAAACAAACAAGGACAGAGGGAGUUCGUGCAAGUUGUGACAGACUCCCUGAGUUCCAGAGAUAGAGCUGAGAGUCUGGGGAGACUGAAGCAUUGAAGCACACAGGAGGAGCCCAGAGAGAAGGCAGGGACAACGUGCUGCGUCUGUCACAGGUCUGUGAGGAAAGGGAGCACAGAGAAGAUAGAGCAAGCUUGCAGCGAUGCCUGUCCCCACCGCAGUUCAUGGAAAGCUCUGAACCUGUACAUCCUGGGACACACUCGAGGGGUCUUAUUUUAGUAGUGGAAAUAACCAGCCCUAUGCUGACCACUGCUCUGUCCCUCACAAACCACUUCUGGGUCACUCAACUACAUCCCAGGACAAAAUGUAGGAAUGCAAAAAUACCCAGCAUCCAAAGGAGUCAAAUUUACUGUGUCUGGCAUCUAAUCAAAGAUAAUCAGGCAGGCUACGAAGUAGGAAAACAUGAGGACAAUAACCCUAGGCUCACAGCCAAGUCGGAAGAGACAGAUGGUAGAAUUCACAGGCAAAGACAUUAAGAAUUGUAGCUAGGGGUUGGGGAGCUAGUUCCUCAGACAAAGGCACUUGCUGUCAAGCUUGGCCACUUGAGUGGUCAGAAACCAUAUGAUGAAGGGAAUGGACACAGUAACUUUUCCUCUGACCUCCACAUGUGUCAUGGCAUAUAGGUGCCCCCACCAUACACACAACAAAUAAAUAAAACAUAAUAUACUCAAACAUUAUUAUAAUUGCACCGCAUACAUUUUCAAACAGUAGCUGGAGACACAAGAGAUAAAUAUCUAGGUGGAGGGCUGGAGAGACGCUUGUAACGUGGUCACAGAGCUCACUGUGCAAGCCUGAGAACCGGAAGUUCAGAUCCUCAGCACCCACAUAAAGCCAGGUACCGUGGCAUGUGCCUGUAACUCCAAUGCUGGGGUGGGGCCAAGACAAGCAGAUCCUGGGGCUCAGUGGUCAGCCAGUCCUGCUGGAAUAGAAAGUUCUACAUUUAGUAAGAGAUCCUCUCUCAAAUAAUAAGGUGACGAGUAACUAGGAAAGAUACCAAAUAUGUUCUGGCUUUGCACAUACACACAUAGGCAAGUACGCCUGCACACACACACACACACAUACAUGCAUAUAUCACACACACACAGACAUUAUACUUACACAUGAUGCCCCUCUUCACAAAAAUUUAGGUUGAGAAUUUUUGUUUUAUUUUUUUUUUAUGAAAACUACAGUGUUUUGAAAAAUACACAGAAUGGGGCUAACAGCACGUCAGAUACUGUAAGAGAAAAGAAGGACAAACUUGAAAAUAUAACAAUAGAAAUUACACAGGAUAAAACAAAGAAAAGCAGGGGUUUUUGUUUUUGUUGGACUAGAUUGUCAGUGAGCUGUAGAGUGACUGCAAAUGUCCCAAAUACAUGGAUGCACAAUCUGGUAUCUCUUCUUGUCAUGUGACUUUUUGCCUCUUAACAAUUAUCAGUGUAUAUGGAGUCGCUGAAGAAAAAGAUAGAACUGACAGAAAAUUAUUUUAAGAAAAACAUGGCCAAAAGUUCUCCAAAUGUAAAACCUGACAAACCACUAAAUAUGCUGAUGUGUUUCCUCGUGACGGUGGUGUGUGUGAUAUGCACACGUGUGUACGUGCUUGUACGUGUGCAUGCAUAUGCAGGCCAGAGGCUGGCAUUGGUUGUCUUUCUCUACCACAUCUCACCUUAUUUUUUGAGACGGUCCCACACUAAACUCAGAAUUUACCAGUUCAGCAAGACUGACUGCCCAAUGAGCUGCAGGGACCCUCCUGUCUCCAUCAUCCUAGUGCUGGGAGUAUAGGUGCAUACCACCAAAUACAAACUUUUUUGUUGUUGUUUUGGUUUUUUAAGACAGGGUUUCUUUGUGUAGCCCUGAUGUCCUGGAACUCGCUUUGUAGACUAGGCUGGCCUCAAACUCACAGAGAUCUACCUGCAUCUGCCUCUCAAGCACUUGGAUUAAAUUCGUGUGCCACUACACCAGGCUCUAAUUUGGACUUUUAAAAAAGAUGUAUAUGAGUACUGGGAUUUGAACUCACAUACUCAUGCUUCUGUGGCAAGCAAGCUCUUUACCAACGGAGCCAUCCUCUCAAUGCCCCCACAUUGGCUUUAAUGAAACAUUUGGUGAUAGAACUCAGUACUUCCUCAAGUCCUAAUGGUGAUGCUCAUUUUCUUCUCUGGGACAAUUUGAUCCAUAACGCCCACUGUGUGCUGAAAGUUAGUGCGUUUUCACGUGAUGUGAAUCGGGGAACUGGGAGGAGGGGAUGCUGGACAACACACUCUGUGGCUCUGCCAGGAUGUUCUCUGAAAAGGUUAAGAAUCGACUUUUAUGAAUUUUAUUAAGAAGCCAGGUGGUGAUGGUACACGCCUUUCAUCCCAGCACUUGGGAGGCAGAGGCAGGAGGAUCCCUGUGUUUUCAAGGCCAGCCUGGUCUACAGAGCAAGUUCCAGGACAGCUAGAGCUGUUAGAAUGAGAAACCCUGUCUCAGGGGCAAGGGGUGGGUGGGUGCAUGGGUGGAAAAUUUUGUAAAGAGAUCGGAGAUUUAAUUCAACCUCACCUCCAGGGCUGAGGGUGACUCAGCUCACUUGGCCCCACAAGUCAGAUAUGAGUUCUUGAAUAUUCUAAUUUAGAAACUCCCCUAUAAAGACUGAGUCUCAUCUGAAUGGGACACAUGCCAACAGAGCCAGCCCCUCAGAUUCCAGUAAGAAUUGGUUUAACUCACCAGACUACUUUGUUAAACAAGCAAUCCAGUGUUGGAACUGUCCCUUCUUUCUGUGGCCCAGUUUGCAGACUGCAAUCAUUCAGCAAUGUUUUAUGUUUUCAUACUUUUGUAAUUUAAUCAUAAUUACUUGAUUUCAUUUUCUACUUUUACAUAUUUAUUUUUUAUUGGGUUUUUCAAUUCAGGGUUUCUUUAUAUAGUCUUAGUUGUCCUGGAACUCUCUCUGUAGACCAGCCUGGCCUCGAACUCACAGAGAUCUGCUGGGCUCCUGAGUGCUGGGAUUAAAGGCAUAGGCCACAAACCACAUGGCAAUUUUAUUUUUUAAAGCUUGCUAUGGGUUAAUAUCUACAUUAGAUUCUACAUUCCAGUGGAAAAAUCUUUCAGUAUUUAGUAAUUUUCAGUAUGUAAUAUUUACUGAGAUUUUGUAAAUACCAUAUCAAUAUAGUUUUAUGUCAUUGAACAGAAAACAAAAUAAACUUCUGACAUCAAAGCAACAAAAAGGUUUUCAAGCUGGGUGGUGGUGGCACAUGUCUUUAAUCCCAGCACUUAGGAAGCAGAGAGGCUGGUGAAUCUCUGAGUUUGAGGCCAGCCUGGUCUACAGAGUGAGUUUCAGGACAUCUGGGGCUACACAGAGAAACCCUGUCUCAAAAAACCACACAAAACCAAAUCAGAACAAGACAAAACAACUUUUCCAAGUUUAAUGAAAAUGUAAACUCACAUCCAUAAAUACAGUGUUGUGGUUUGAAUAUGAAAUGUCUCCCACAGGCUCGUGUUUUGGACACUUGGUCUCCAGCUGGUGGCUCUGUUUGGGAAGGUUCUGGAAACUUUAGGAAGUGGAGGCUUGCUGUAAGUAUGCUAUUGGGGGAAGAUUUUGAGAUUUAAAGCUUGACAUACAUUUGUGUGUGUGUGUGUAUGUGUGUGUGCGCAUGCCUAUGAUGUGUGUCUGUGUCUGCCUCUGUCUCUCAUGAUGAAGGAAGGCUUUUCUCUCACAGAGGAACAAACAUAAGGAAGUAUCAUAUUUCUCCUUAGAAACAAUAUAAACAAGAAGACAAUGGAAUAAAACUCAUAAAAACAUGAAGUGAAGAGGAUCUCUACCUAGAAUUCUGUGCUGCCAUGAAGAGAACAUUGAAAAAGGGAAGUGAAAUAAAGACAUUCCCAGAUACACUAAGUGGAAAGAAUCCAUUGCUAGCGGAACAAGAAUGUCAAAAGUCGUCCUUCGGCUGGAGGCGAUCUGGAUCUGCACAAAAGAAACAGGCUCGUCUGGAACUUUCUACCAGUCGACCACCGCCACACGUGCUGGACUGGAGACACAGGCAGAAUGGUUGCUUACGGCAUCCAUCGCAGGAGGACUGCCUCGCGAGAGGGGGAGCUGGA